UAAGGUGGUGAUACACAUUAUAGGAGUUUGC
rnacentral:piRNA from 1 species